UACCAAGUCUUUGCCCCCAAAUCUGUAAUUAAGCACUCCCGAAGAUUUCUCCUGCAGGAAGUCGGUGUCACAGAGGAACCUUGUAGGUGGAAAGGCCCAUGGGGGCUCUCAUGUCUGUCUGAACUGUGCGGCUGUGGGUGGGGGAGGCUGGGAGACAAGCUUCAGGCAGGCAGCCACGGGGAAGGGGGCCCCUAGGAAAGAGGAGGCUACUAGAGGACAUGGCUGAUUCUUGUGAGGGGUGACUAACACUGCCAUGAGUCAGCCGGGGCCCGGGAAGUGUCCUCUUUUUCCUCUCGGACCAAUGUCCUAACCCUGGGGAAGCCGAGCUGUGCUUUCCAGCCCUGCGGUUGAUUGCACUGCCUGAAAGGAAGGACCAGGGUGCCCCUCACCCCCCGCCAACCCAGAGAGUAGCCAUCUGGCCUCGUCUGUCCAGGAGUCCACCCGUCUAUCCGGGGGGCUCUGGCUGGGCUGCUGGCUGCUGCUGUGGAACUUGGAGGCUGCAGGAGGCAGGCGGUAAACAGGAAAUGGUUAAGUAAGAGCAGGUGGAGCAUGCCGGGUGCUGGAGCAGGACAGGAAAUAGCUGAGCGGCUGAAUGGACUCGAAAGAAUGCCCUGCCCUCCUCCCCGAAGCUCUGGCAAAAGCGCUGUCCACCCACUCCUCCCUGCGAGGUUCCCCCGCCUGGCAGCAGCCUGAUCCGUGCUGCCCUCCUCAGCAGCCCGGGGCUGGGAGAGGUGCUGGGAGGAGAGGGGCCCGAGGAACCAAGAAGUCCAGCCAGGACCAAUGGGGCAAGAAAGAGGUUGUCCCUUCCCUCGUGGGGCUACCAAUCAGGCCCACGACCAGCGGCCCAGGGCUGCUAUGGCUUGUUCCCCAGCACAUGGAUCCUGGGAGCAGCAGUGCUGCCCUGAGAAGCUGAUUGCCUUGACCCCUGCCCCCUUCGGGGGUGACCUGGGGAGGACAAAGCUGGGCUCACGUGUUUCCUCGACAGCAGUGGACGUCAAGGGUGUCUCAGUCCCCAAAUAAUGCAACCCAAAGAAGCAGCACUUUGUUCCCAUUUUACAGAUGAGGAAACUGAGGCACAGAGAAGAAGAGGAACGUGCCCCAGUAGUAAGGCAGCAGUGGGUUCGAGUCCUCUGGAUUCAGGCUUGGGCAGCUGGCUCCAGCCCACACUCCGGCCACUGUGCCAAGCUGCUUCCGUGGGAGCCUGUGGAGGAGGCCAUCCUGGUUGCCCUGGGUGCUCCUGAGGACAGCCCUAUUCUUUAGGAGAAGUUCCUUUUCCCUCAGGAGCCAGAACUUCCGGAACAUCCUUCCCUACCAGCUGAGGCUCCAGAGGCUCCUGACAAGAGCACCAGGAGAGAGGAGGAGAAAGUGGUGGAAAUUUGAUCACCUCUCCAGACUGGGCUGUGAGCAUGGCGUCUUCCCACUGCCGCUGACGUGGGCCCUGAGGAAAGUGCCGUCGAUUCUCUUCAUUCAAGAGCUACGUGUUGGCACCAGCGUUGUGCCAGGCUCUGGGCUGGGCCCGGGGAGGGGCCCGCUACCUUCUAAAGUAGACACGUUAUGUGCCCAGGGGUGCUGGCGGUAGAGGAAGAGACAGCCACGUCUGUGUCUACUGACUGAAUGUGGCAGAUGCUGAGAUAGAGGGGGCGGAAGCAGGGAAGCAGGGAGCCGGGCACUCGGCCAGCCUGGGAAGUCAGGGAAGGUGUCCUGAAGGUGUGUAUGCCUUAGCUGAGCCUUGAAAGAGGAUCCAAGUUAACCAGGAGAAGAAAUGGAGGGGCGGGGCGGAGGCAUGGCCUUCCAGGAAGAGUAGGCAGAGGCUGGAAGGGUUGUCGUUGCAGGGUAAAAGCAGAGAACAGAAGCACGUCAGCAUUCCGACAGGCAGCGUGAUAGCAGAGGAGCCAGUGGGGUUUGCAUCACAAGGGCCUGCAAGGCCACAUUAGGACCUCAGCCCUUUGUCCAGCUUCUGCCUCCUGGACCACAGGAAAGAGGAGGGCCUUGGAGAACAGUGCAACUGGGCGGGACUCACACUCCCUGAUUUUAAGAAUCACCAUCAGGCUAGAGUCAUCAAGACAGUAGAACUGAUGAAAGGAUGGACAUUUAUAACAAUGGAACACAACAGAGAGUGCAGAAAUGCAGAAGUGUAUCCACACAUGUGGUCAGUGCAAAGGGAAUUCAGUGGAGAAAGGACAGCCUUAAAAAAAUGGUGAUGGAAAAUUUGGACAUCCAUAUGCAAAAAGAAAAUAAAAUGUGGCCUAUAACUCAACAUGAAUCAUAGACCUAAAUGUAAAACAUUAAAAUAUAAAAAAGACAGAAACAUGAGCAAAAGUAUAAAAGAAAAAAAAGCUAUUAGUAUAAAAGAAGAAAAUAAAGGAGAGAAUCUUUGUGACUUGGGUUAGGAUAGGAUUUCUUAGAUAUGGCACAAAACACAACCCAUAAAAGAAAAAGUUGACAAAUUGAACUUCUCAAGAUUAAAAACUUUUUCUUUCUUUCUUUUUUUUUUUCCCCAAAGGCACUGUUGAGAAAAUGAAAAGACAAGCCCCAGACUGGGAGAAAAUGUUUUUCAAACCUAUAUCUGACAGAGGGCUUGAAUCUAGAAUAUAUUAAAAAAAACUCUUGAAACUCAAUAAUAAGAAAACAAUUCAAUCUUUUAAAUGGGCAAGUAUUUGAACAUACACUUCACCACAGAAGAAAUAUAAAUGGCAAAUAAACACAUGAAAAGAUGUUUAGCAUCAUUAAUCACUAAAUUAAAAUCAUAAUGAGAAACCACUACACACCUUUUAGAAGGGCUACAAUAAAAAAAAAAAACAUUAAAACAAGAAACUGACAAUACCAAGUACUGGGGAAGAUGUGGAACAACUGGAACUCAUUCAUUACCGGCUGGGGUGCAAAAUGGUCCAGCCACACUGGAAGACAUUUGGUGGUUUAACCAUCUACUCAUGACCCAGCAAUCCUAUUCUUGGUAAAUACCAAGGAAUCCUACUUGAGAAAUGAAAACUUAAGUCCACACAAAAACCUGUAUGCAAAUGUUUAUAGUAACAUUAUUCAUAACGACUCAAAACUGGAAACAACCCAAAUAUCCUCGGAUUUCUGAACGGCUAGACACACUGUCACGCCUCACAUAGAGGACGCUUGUUUCUGAGCAAUGGAAAUGAACUGUUGGUGCGUGAAAUAGCACGGACACAUCGCAGGUGCCCUGGGCCAAGGGAAAGAAGCCAGACCUUGGGGGUUCCGUACUGUAGGAUUCCAUUUUGGAAAAGACAAAACUACGGGGAAAAACAGACGGUGGUUUUCAGGCGCUGGGGCUGGGCAGAGGUUGACUACAAAGAGUACUGGAGAAUUAUGAGGGGUGAUGGAAUUGUCCUGUAUCUUAGCUGUGCUGUUGGUUACAUGAUGGCAUACAUUUAUCAAAACUCAUAGAACUGUAUCUUAAAAUGGAUAGGUUUUACUGUAUGUAAAUUAUACUGUAAUAAACCUGAGUUUAAAAGGG